UCAGAUGCUUGACCCACGCUCGAGCCUGCAAACAAAAGUUGCAAGGAGAGGCUGAUGUUUUCCAGGCCCAAUUAGCAUAAUGUUGUAAUUCCCGAGCUCUCGGGCUGCCUGCAUCCCUUCGCCCCGGCCGCUCCAGCUCCCUCCUUCUGAUCCAUCACCAUAUGCCCGUCUUUUACAGUUCUUUGGUGCGUGAUGCUCAGAGAGUGGAUAAUUAGCUAAAUGAAUUAAUUGACAUUCAUACUUGUAAUUAGCAACCGGUUACAAGCAGCUAUUCUCCUUGGGACAGCUAAAAUUUCUCAGGGAUUGGUGUUAAAACACUGGAAAAUCGUUCGGGGUAAAUAACGAGUGCCGACGGCGCCCGGCUUCUGCCCGGGCUGUCGGAGCCGCCCCGCGGUAAACAAGCCCGAGCAGAAGCGGAGCAGGCUGUGGGACGUGCUGGGUACGCCGCUGCUGCUCGGGAGGAGGAGAACUUCCCAGCUCCGGGAGAAUCGCGGGCCUGAUGGGCGGCCUCCAGCCCGCGGCUCCCGCCCGCUCCCGGUAACCCUUCCAGCCCCGCUCGCCCGGAGCUCGCAGCGCGGCCCCGGCAGCGCAGGCUGCUCGUGCGAAGCCGUGGAAAUUGGAUGUCGUGAUGUUCCAGCAGAAUAUUCCCAGUGAAUUGACGAGCACAGGCUUUCUUCCCAGCCAUGGCCACCCUAAAGAGCCCUGGGUGGAAGCUGCCAGGCAGUGAUGGACCAACACUUCAAGGAAGGGGCCAGGAGAAGGGAAGCUACUCUGGGAGGUCAGGAAAGGCCAACCAACCACCAAAACUUGGGAGCACUUUGAUAUCCUGACGAGCUGCAGUGGCAGGGGUUUGAGGGCUCCUUUCUGCUCCCGGGAAGUCGGGGAUGGGUGCAGGGAUGUCGCCAGCCCAGGCCAGAAGCAAUAAAGCACCGGGAGUGAUGCAGCAAAACA